UUGAACGCUGGCGGCAUGCCUAACACAUGCAAGUCGAACGGUAACAGCAGAGCUUGCUCUGGCUGACGAGUGGCGGACGGGUGAGGAAUGCAUAGGAAUCUACCCAGUAGCGGGGGACAACCCGAAGAAAUUCGGGCUAAUACCGCAUCGACCUACGGGUGAAAGCAGGGGAUCUUUCGGGACCUUGCACUAUUGGAUGAGCCUAUGUCGGAUUAGCUUGUUGGUGGGGUAAAAGCCUACCAAGGCGACGAUCCGUAGCUGGUCUGAGAGGAUGAUCAGCCACACUGGGACUGAGACACGGCCCAGACUCCUACGGGAGGCAGCAGUGAGGAAUAUUGCACAAUGGGCGCAAGCCUGAUGCAGCAAUGCCGCGUGUGUGAAGAAGGCCUUCGGGUUGUAAAGCACUUUAAGCAGUGAGGAAAGGUUGAUGGUUAAUAGCCAUCAGCUGUGACGUUAACUGCAGAAUAAGCACCGGCUAACUCCGUGCCAGCAGCCGCGGUAAUACGGAGGGUGCAAGCGUUAAUCGGAAUUACUGGGCGUAAAGCGCGCGUAGGUGGUUUUGUAAGUUGGAUGUGAAAUCCCUGGGCUCAACCUGGGAACUGCAUUUCGAACUGACAAACUAGAGUUUUGUAGAGGGUGGUAGAAUUUCAGGUGUAGCGGUGAAAUGCGUAGAGAUCUGAAGGAAUACCAGUGGCGAAGGCGGCCACCUGGACAGUAACUGACGCUCAUGUACGAAAGCGUGGGGAGCAAACGGGAUUAGAUACCCCGGUAGUCCACGCCGUAAACGAUGUCAACUAGCCGACCUGAAUCCUUGUGAUUUGGGUGGCGCAGCUAACGCAUUAAGUUGACCGCCUGGGGAGUACGGCCGCAAGGUUAAAACUCAAAUGAAUUGACGGGGGCCCGCACAAGCGGUGGAGCAUGUGGUUUAAUUCGAUGCAACGCGAAGAACCUUACCUACCCUUGACAUCCACAGAACUUUUCAGAGAUAGUUUGGUGCCUUCGGGAAUCCAGUGACAGGUGCUGCAUGGCUGUCGUCAGCUCGUGUCGGGAAAUGUUGGGUUAAGUCCCGCAACGAGCGCAACCCUUGUCCUUAGUUGCCAUCAGGUUAUGCUGGGCACUCUAAGGAGACUGCCGGUGAUAAACCGGAGGAAGGUGGGGAUGACGUCAAGUCAUCAUGGCCCUUAUGGGUAGGGCUACACACGUGCUACAAUGGCCGGUACAGAGGGUUGCCAACCCGCGAGGGGGGCGAAUCUCACAAAACCGGUCGUAGUCCGGAUCGGAGUCUGCAACUCGACUCCGUGAAGUUGGAAUCGCUAGUAAUCGCGAAUCAGAAUGUCGCGGUGAAUACGUUCUCGGGCCUUGUACACACCGCCCGUCACACCAUGGGAGUGGGUUGCACCAGAAGUAGGUUGUCUAACCUUAGGGAGGAUGCUUACCACUUUGUGAUUCAU
rnacentral:rRNA from 1 species